GCAGUGACUGUGAAAGGAAGGGAAAGCAGUGACUGUGAAAGGAAGGAGAAAGCAGUGACUGUGAAAGGAAGGAGAAAGCAGUGACUGUGAGAGGAAGGGGAAAGCAGUGACUGUGAAAGGAAGGGGAAAGCAGUGACCGUGAAAGGAGUGACUGUGAAAGGAAGGAGAAAGCAGUGACUGUGAAAGGAAGGGGAAAGCAGUGAACGUGAAAGCAGUGACUGUGAAAGGAAGGGGAAAGCAGUGACCGUGAAAGGAGUGACCGUGAAAGGAAGGAGAAAGCAGUGACCGAGAAAGCAGUGACUGUGAAAGGAAGGGGAAAGCAGUGACCGUGAAAGCAGUGACUGUGAAAGGAAGGGGAAAGCAGUGACCGUGAAAGGAAGGAGAAAGCAGUGACUGUGAAAGGAAGGGGAAAGCAGUGACUGUGAAAGGAAGGGGAAAGCAGUGUGUGUGGACCCGCUGCGGCUCUCUUCCUCCCUUCCCUGAGAAUAAUGCUCUGUUCAAGACAACUACUCUGGAAAAACGAGAUCCGACUGGUUUUGAACGGUCAUCCAACUCGGAACUCCUAGUCGGAAACUCGCAUCUUUCUAGAGCUCCGACCUCAAGAUCACAGAAGUCAUGAUUUGACCUCGUUUUCUUUUUCUCGAGUUCCCAGCUGUCUUGAAUGCACCAUGGCCAUCAGAUGCAAGUGCUGUACCAUAUCAUUUAUGCUCAGCUGUGCCUUGCAAGUGCUACAAAAACCGAUAUGUUAUCAAAGCUCAAGUUGUGAUAAUGUAUUAGGCCUACAGCAGAAACCUCCUUCCCGCAGAGCUCUUUUUAUUAGGCUGUUACAUUAUAAGUAAUGUAAAAAAAAAUUGAGUGGUAGAUCUUGGCUUGCUUUUUGAAUGUGAAAGCGAUCUUGACUCAAAGGUUGGUGACCACUGGUGUAGAUGAAGGGGAGGAGACAGGUUAAAGAAGGAUUUUGAAGCCUUGAGACAUGGAUUGUGUGUGUGUGUGCAAUUCAGAGGGUGAAUGGGCAAGAAAAAAGAUUUAAGUGCCUUUGAACAGGGUAUGGUAGUAGGUGCCAGGCGUGUCAGUUUGUGUCAAGAACUGCAACGCUCCUGGGUUUUUCAUGUUCAAUAGUUUCCCAUGUGUAUCAAGAAUGGUCCACCAGCCAACUUGAUACAAGCAUUGGAGUGAUGCGCCAGCAUCCCUGUGGAACGCUUUUGACACCUUGUAGAGCCCAUGCCCCAACGAAUUGAGGCUGUUCUGAGGGCAAAGGGGUGGAACUCAUUAUUAGGAAGGUUCUUAAUGUUUUGAACACUGUGUCUGACUAUAGCUGCUACAAGGUCAGGGAGAAACUCUCCUUCCUGCUGCUACACUCAUGCAAUUACUCACAGCAAUGACCCUAUAUUCUGUUAUUGACACACACAUACUACUUCAAGUAAUACACACCCACUCUGUCAGUGUAAGGUGUACCUCUUUCCAAGGGUUAAGGUGUGUUGUCACCGUAUCCAGACUUCUGGAACCAAAGUGUUCUUCUCUUCUGUCAGUGUGUGCGUGAGAGCGGAAUGUACCUCUUCCUCUCCGUCUGAGGUGGGCUUUUCUGUGUUCUAUGCAUUGCAUGGCGUUGCUGUUCUGAUUUGCACUUUACUGAGUAUUUAUUGUCAAACACAAUUAAACUGACCUAUACACUAGA